CAAUCAUAAAAGGUGGCUUUYAGCUACCACUUACAGAUGGACCCGCGGCGCAUUAGCUAGUUGGUGAGGUAACGGCUCACCAAGGCGACGAUGCGUAGCCGACCUGAGAGGGUGAUCGGCCACACUGGGACUGAGACACGGCCCAGACUCCUACGGGAGGCAGCAGUAGGGAAUCUUCCGCAAUGGACGAAAGUCUGACGGAGCAACGCCGCGUGAGUGAUGAAGGUUUUCGGAUCGUAAAACUC
rnacentral:rRNA from 1 species